AGAGAAUAGAUACCCUGGUAGUCCACGCCCUAAACGAUGCAUAUUUGGUGUGGGCAGUUCAUUCUGUCCGUGCCGGAGCUAACGCGUUAAAUAUGCCGCCUGGGGAGUACAGUCGCAAGGCUGAAACUCAAAGGAAUUGACGGGGGCCCGGCCACAAGCGGUGGAGCAUGUGGUUCAAUUACGUACGCAACGCGAAGAACCUUACCUGGGCGUCGAACGGCCGGUCAACGGCGGUGGAAACAUCGCUACCCGCCAAGGGGUCCGGGUCGAGGUGCUGCAUGGCUGUCGUCAGCUCGUGUCGUGAGAUGUUGGGUUAAGUCCCGCAACGAGCGCAACCCUUGUCCUGUGUUGCCAUCAUUUAGUUGGGAACGUCGCAGGAGACCGCCAGGGAUAACCUGGAGGAAGGUGGGGUAUGACGUCAAGUCCUCAUGGCCGUUUAUGUCCAGGGCUACACACGUGCUACAAUGGCCGGUACAAAGCGUCGCAAA
rnacentral:rRNA from 1 species